rnacentral:rRNA from 1 species
UAAGCCAUGCAAGUCAUAUGUUCCUCGUGAACAUGGCAUACUGCUCAGUAACACGUGGAUAACCUGCCCUUGGGUCUGGGAUAACCCCGGGAAACUGGGGAUAAUACCGGAUGACGCAUAUGUGCUGGAAUGCUUUAUGCGUAAAACGGAUUCGUCCGCCCAAGGAUGGGUCUGCGGCCUAUCAGGUAGUAGUGGGUGUAAUGUACCUACUAGCCAACAACGGGUACGGGUUGUGAGAGCAAGAGCCCGGAGAUGGAUUCUGAGACAUGAAUCCAGGCCCUACGGGGCGCAGCAGGCGCGAAAACUUUACAAUGCGGGCAACCGUGAUAAGGGAACCUCGAGUGCCUGUAAAUGCAGGCUGUUCAGAUGCCUAAAACACAUCUGGAGAAAGGGCCGGGCAAGACCGGUGCCAGCCGCCGCGGUAAUACCGGCGGCUCGAGUGGUGGCCACUUUUAUUGGGCUUAAAGCGUUCGUAGCUGGGUUGUUAAGUCUCUUGGGAAAUCUGGCGGCUUAACCGUCAGGCGUCUAAGGGAUACUGGCAAUCUUGGAACCGGGAGGGGUGAGGGGUACUUCGGGGGUAGGAGUGAAAUCCUGUAAUCCUCGAGGGACCACCUGUGGCGAAGGCGCCUCACCAGAACGGCUUCGACAGUGAGGGACGAAAGCUGGGGGAGCAAACCGGAUUAGAUACCCGGGUAGUCCCAGCCGUAAACUAUGCGCGUUAGGUGUAUCGGUGACCACGAGUUACCGAGGUGCCGAAGGGAAACCGUGAAACGUGCCGCCUGGGAAGUACGGUCGCAAGGCUGAAACUUAAAGGAAUUGGCGGGGGAGCACCACAACAGGUGGAGCCUGCGGUUUAAUUGGACUCAACGCCGGGAAGCUCACCGGAUAGGACAGCAGAAUGAUUGCCGGGCUGAAGACCCUGCAUGACUAGCUGAGAGGAGGUGCAUGGCCGUCGUCAGUUCGUACUGUGAAGCAUCCUGUUAAGUCAGGCAACGAGCGAGACCCA